rnacentral:tRNA from 1 species
GAAAGGUUAGUUAAUAAAUAACAUUGACUUGUCAAGCCAAAAUUGUCCUCAAGACACCUCUCU